rnacentral:rRNA from 1 species
CCCUUAGAUGUUCUGGGCUGCACGCGCGCUACACUGAUGCGAUCAACAAGUUUUUCCUAUGUCGAUAGACACGGGUAAUCUUUUGAACUCGCAUCGUGAUGGGGAUAGAUUAUUGUAAUUAUUAAUCUUCAACGAGGAAUUCCUAGUAGGUGCAAAUCAUCAGUUUGCAUCGAUUACGUCCCUGCCCUUUGUACACACCGCCCGUCGCUGCUACCGAUUGGUUGAUCUGGUGAAUUAUUCGGACUGCCGGCUGAAGGGGUUUCCUCAUCUGCCAGCGGAAAGUCUUGUUAACCCUAUCAACUAGAGGAAGCAGAAGUCGUAACAA